AACGAACGCUGGCGGCGUGCCUAACACAUGCAAGUCGUGCGAGAAAGUUCCUUCGGGAGCGAGUAAAGCGGCGCACGGGUGAGUAACACGUAGGUAACCUGCCCCCCAGUCUGGAACAACUAGAGGAAACUCUAGCUAAUGCCGGAUGAGACCACGAUCCCUUCGGGGGUUGCGGCCAAAGAUGGCCUCUACUUGUAAGCUAUCGCUGAGGGAUGGGCCUGCGGGCCAUUAGCUUGUUGGUGAGGUAACGGCUCACCAAGGCUGUGAUGGCUAGCUGGUCUGAGAGGAUGACCAGCCACACUGGGACUGAGACACGGCCCAGACUCCUACGGGAGGCAGCAG
rnacentral:rRNA from 1 species